UACGUAGGGUGCGAGCGUUGUCCGGAAUUAUUGGGCGUAAAGGGCUCGUAGGCGGUUUGUUGCGUCAGGAGUGAAAACUCGGGGCUUAACCCCGAGCCUGCUUCUGAUACGGGCAGACUAGAGGUAUGCAGGGGGAGAACGGAAUUCCUGGUGUAGCGGUGAAAUGCGCAGAUAUCAGGAGGAACACCGGUGGCGAAGGCGGUUCUCUGGGCAUUACCUGACGUGAGGAGCGAAAGUGUGGGGAGCGAACAGG
rnacentral:rRNA from 1 species